rnacentral:lncRNA from 1 species
UCAAAAAUGUAAAGUUUUAAUCAUAGGAAACUGGGAGAAUGAACUAGAAGAGUGGAAGACAAGGGAAAUGAUGAGUUAAGUUCAAAAUAUAGUAAGUCUAAGGUAAUGGGAGAACAUCUAAAAAGAAAUAGCCAAUAGGCUGGAGGAGACACUUAGAAGGGUCAUUGGCCAGGAGGCAGCUGAUGGAGCCAUGAGAACAAAUGAGCUUUCUGAGAGAAAAGCAGAUUAGAUUUCCUGGGAGCUCCAGAGUUAGAAGGCAGGUGGAGGAGGAAAGGACUUGGGGAUGACACACAUAAGAAAUGUCACCUCAAUUGCACUCAAGGCCCACCUACCCCUGGAUUCUGUCUCUGAGAGAAGCACUGAAGGACUAUUUAGGGCAGCUAUUAUGAUGCCACCCUCAAAAGGCUGAUGUCUUUCAAGCAUCUCAACACUGCUCAUAUGGUGCUACUCAACAUUCAGUCUACAAAUAUAUUGUUUUCUGUGUGCCAGAUACUGUUCUAGGCACUAGAGAUACAGUAGUGAACAAAAUGGACUACACUCUCUCAUGGUGCUUAUAUUCCAGUAGAUAGCCAAGAUAAAAAAGCAAAAUAUAUAGAAUGAGAGGUGGUAAUAAGUACUAAGAAAUCAAAUAAGGCCAGAAAGGAGAUGGAGCAUGGGGACUAUCAGGAGUGGUGUUGCAAUCUUAGAAAGGUGGCCAGGGAAAGUUCAUGAAGGAGGUGAGAGGUUUGUGAACAUCUAAAGGUGGUGAAGAACAUUCUAACGGAAUGGCAAGGACAAUGGCCCUGAGCUGAAGUAUGCUUGGAGUGUUCAAAGAGCAGCAGGAUGCCAGUGUGGCUGGAGUGCAGUAAUUGAGUAGGAGAGGACAUGAGCUAGACUACCUUUCCCAGCUUCCCUUGCAGUGUGGACAUGUGAUUGAGCUCUGGCCAAAAGAAGAGGGGCAGAAAUCAUGUCCACUACUUCCAGCACUGGCCAUACAAACCUGUCGUGUGUGAUUCUCCAAGCUCUUUCUCUGUCUAUGGCAACCCUAGAAACCAUGUAGUGCAGAUGGCAGAGUCACAACAUGCAAGGAGCCCAGUUUCCUGUUAAAGAGCCACUCACUGAACAGGCACACCCUUUUUGGACUUUCUGUGAGAAAUAAAUUUCUAUUAGUUAUUUUAUGCCUUUGAUAUACUGGGUUUAUCUCUUACAGAGCCAGCAUUACCCUUAUACAGACGGGAAGCCAUUGGAAGAUUUUGAGCAGAGAAGUGACAUGAGCUAAGCCUUUAAAAGGUCAUAUUAGACUGAAGAGGGCAAGGUUAGAAACAGGGAACCCACUGAGGAGGCUUUUGCAACAAUCCAGGUGAUGAUGAUGAUGGCUUGGUCCAGGGUGGUAGCAGUGGAAAUAGUGAGAAGUGUCAGAUUCUGAAUAUAGUUUGAAAGUAGUUUAAAAGGAUUGCCUAGGGCUGGCCUGGUGGUGCAGUGGUUAAGUUCGCACGUUCCGCUUCUCGGCAGCCUGGCGUUUGCCGGUUCGGAUCCCAGGUGUGGACAUGGCACUGCUUGGCACACCAUGCUGUGGUAGGCAUCCCACAUAUAAAGUAGAGGAAGAUGGGCACCGAUGUUAGCUCAGGGCCAGGCUUCCUCAGUAAAAAAGAGGAGGAUUGGCAGCAGUUAGCUCAGGGCUUAAUCUUCCUCAAAAAACCCCAAAAAACAAGGAUUUCCUGAUGUGUUCGUAAUGGAGUGGAGAGAACAAGAGGAGUCAAGGGUGACUCCAAGCUUUUGAGCAACUAGAAGAUUGGAGCUGCCAUUUAUUAGGAUGGAGAAGACUUUGGGGGGAGCAAAUUUUGGAAGAUAAUAUUGAGAUAUUGGUUUUGGACAUGUUGAGAUGCCUCUUAGACAUUCAAAUGGAGACGCUAAGUAGGCAGUUGGAUAUGUAUCUGUGCAGUUUGCAGUGGUCUGGACUAGAGAUAUAAAUCUGGGAGUAAUUGGUAUAUAUGGGAUAUGAAAGCCAUGGGUUUUGAUUAGAAGAGACCCAAGGACUGAGUCCUGGAAAUUUCUAGUGUUCAAAGAUGGUAGAGUGGUAUUGAUGAGAAAGAAUCAGCAAAGGAAAUGAGAAGAAAAGCUAGUGAAGGAGGAGGACAACCAAGAGAGUGUAGUGUUCUAGAAGCCAAGUGAAGAAAGUGUUUUACAAGGAAAGAAGUAAUCAUGUAUGUCACAUGCUGCCAUCGGUGAGAUGAGGACUGAUGGGCCAUUGGUUUUAGUAAUGUGGGGAUCACGUUUGGUGGGGUAGCGGGUACGAAAACCUACUGGAGGGGUUUGAGAGAGAAUGAGAAGCAAGAAAUUGGAAACCUUUGGGGCCGGCCAGGUGGCACAGCAGCUUAGUUUGCACAUUCUGCUUCAGCAGCCCAGGGUUUGCUGGUUUGGAUCCCAGGUGUGGACAUGGCAUCACUUGUCAAGCCAUGCUGUGGCAGGCAUCCCACAUACAAAGUAGAAGAAGGUAGGCAUGGAUGUUAGCUCAGGG